GAUGAAGAACGCAGCGAAAUGCGAUAAGUAGUGUGAAUUGCAGAAUUCAGUGAAUCAUCGAAUCUUUGAACGCACCUUGCGCCCUUUGGCUAUUCCUAAGGGCAUGCCUGUUUGAGUAUCAUGAACACCUCAACUCUCAUGGUUUUUCCAUGAUGGGCUUGGACUUUGGGGGUCUUGCCGGCCUAUGGUCAGCUCCUCUUAAAUGAAUCAGCUUGCCAGUGUUUGGUGUGGCAUCACAGGUGUGAUAACUAUCUACGCUUGUGGUUUUCCAUCAAGUAACCUUCAGUGAUGGAGGUUCGCUGGGGCUCAUAAAGGCCUCUCCUCGGUGAGGAUGGCUCCUUUGAACGUUUGAUCUCAAAUCAGGUAGGACUACCCGCUGAACUUAAGCAUAUCAAUAAGCGGAGGA
rnacentral:misc_RNA from 1 species